GAUGAACGCUGGCGGCGUGCCUAAUACAUGCAAGUCGAACGAACAGAUAAGGAGCUUGCUCCUUUGACGUUAGCGGCGGACGGGUGAGUAACACGUGGAGAACCUACCUAUAAGACUGGGAUAACUUCGGGAAACCGGAGCUAAUACCGGAUAACAUAUUGAACCGCAUGGUUCAAUAGUGAAAGGCGGCUUUGCUGUCACUUAUAGAUGGAUCCGCGCCGUAUUAGCUAGUUGGUAAGGUAACGGCUUACCAAGGCAACGAUACGUAGCCGACCUGAGAGGGUGAUGGGCCACACUGGAACGGAGACACGGUCCAGACUCCUACGGGAGGCAGCAGUAGGGAAUCUUCCGCAAUGGGCGAAAGCCUGACGGAGCAACGCCGCGUGAGUGAUGAAGGUCUUCGGAUCGUAAAACUCUGUUAUCAGGGAAGAACAAAUGUGUAAGUAACUGUGCACAUCUUGACGGUACCUGAUCAGAAAGCCACGGCUAACUACGUG
rnacentral:rRNA from 1 species